UAUGUGAUCGUCUCUCGCAUAUCAAUAAGCGGAGGAAAAGAAACUAACAAGGAUUCCCCUAGUAACGGCGAGUGAAGCGGGAAGAGCUCAAAUUUGAAAUCUUAAAGGGUUUCCCUUUACGAAUUGUAGUUUAAAGAAGUGUUUUCUGUUGAGGUUUUGGUAAAAGUUCUUUGGAAUAGGACAUCAUAGAGGGUGAGAAUCCCGUAUUUGACCUUCACUUUCAACUUUGUGAUACACUUUCAAAGAGUCGGAUUGUUUGGGAAUGCAGUCCAAAAUGGGUGGUAAAUUUCAUCUAAAGCUAAAUAUUGGCGAGAGACCGAUAGCGAACAAGUACCGUGAGGGAAAGAUGAAAAGAACUUUGAAAAGAGAGUUAAACAGUACGUGAAAUUGUCAAAAGGGAAGCGUUUGACACCAGUGUUGUUUUUCUGAAAAUCAAUUAAAGAACUGUUUAUGCUAAGUUGUUUAGACUUUAUCAGCUAUCUGCUUAGUUUUGAGCUUUUCUUUAAUGCACUUUUCAGUUAACAAGUCAACAUCAAUUUCUUUUGCUGUAAAAAAGCUUGAGGAAGGUGGCUUGAGAUUCGUCUUAAGUGUUUAUAGCCUCUUGCCUAUGCAGUCGGAGAGAUUGAGGUCUGCAGCGUAGAUCCUUCGGGGCUAAAUGCAUUUGUGCUAAGUUAUAGCAUUUUAUAGACAACUUGUUGACUAUGAUUUGUCUUGUAGCUUACUCGCUUAUGUUAUUUUACCUACGCUUAGGAUGUUGAACGCGCACAGAGUCUC
rnacentral:rRNA from 1 species